rnacentral:rRNA from 2 species
GGGUUGUGAGGUUAAGCGACUAAGCGUACACGGUGGAUGCCCUGGCAGUCAGAGGCGAUGAAGGGCGUGCUAAUCUGCGAUAAGCGCCGGUAAGGUGAUAUGAACCGUUAUAACCGGCGAUACCCGAAUGGGGAAACCCAGUGUGACUCGUCACACUAUCAUUAACUGAAUCCAUAGGUUAAUGAGGCGAACCGGGGGAACUGAAACAUCUAAGUACCCCGAGGAAAAGAAAUCAACCGAGAUUCCCCCAGUAGCGGCGAGCGAACGGGGAGGAGCCCAGAGCCUGAAUCAGCAUGUGUGUUAGUGGAAGCGUCUGGAAAGGCGCGCGAUACAGGGUGACAGCCCCGUACACAAAAGCG